rnacentral:rRNA from 1 species
CCUACGGGAGGCAGUAGUGAGGAAUAUUGGUCAAUGGACGAGAGUCUGAACCAGCCAAGUAGCGUGAAGGAUGACUGCCCUAUGGGUUGUAAACUUCUUUUAUAAAGGAAUAAAACGAGGCACGUGUGCCUUUUUGCAUGUACUUUAUGAAUAAGGAUCGGCUAACUCCGUGCCAGCAGCCGCGGUAAUACGGAGGAUCCGAGCGCUAUCCGGAUUUAUUGGGUUUAAAGGAAGCGUAGAUGGGUUGUUAAGUCAGUUGUGAAAGUUUGCGGCUCAACCGUAAAAUUGCAAUUGAUACUGGCAGUCGUGAGUACAGUUGAGGUAGGCGGAAUUCGUGGUGUAGCGGUGAAAUGCUUAGAUAUCACGAAGAACCCCGAUUGCGAAGGCAGCUUACUAAACUGUGACUGACAUUGAUGCUCGAAAGUGUGGGUAUCAAACAGGAUUAGAUACCCGAGUAGUC